UACAGCUCGGCAUUGCACCAGAAGUGUUGAAGCCUCAUUGUUUAAAACCAUCCAACAACAACACUUGCAAGAUGAUUAUUGAAUUAAAGAUAGGGUCACAAUCACUUAAGGUUGACAAAGAGUUAUUAGCACGGUACAGUGAUUACUUUGAUGCAAUGUUCACCUCUCCUUUCUCGGAACAGUCUAGUGAUGUCAUCACUUUAAAACACAUCAACUUCAGAUCUGUUAAAGUUAUUGUUGAUUACAUCUACAGUGGAAAGCUGGUGUUAAGUCCGUUCAAUAUAGAGGACGUGUUUCUCACUGCAGAUUUUCUACAAAUUCCAACAGUC